AGAGUUUGAUCCUGGCUCAGGAUGAACGCUAGCGAUAGGCCUUACACAUGCAAGUCGAGGGGCAGCACAAAGAAAGUAGCAAUACUUUUUUGGUGGCGACCGGCGCACGGGUGAGUAACGCGUAUGCAACCUACCUACUACUUUGGGAUAGCUCGUUGAAAGACGAAUUAAUACCUUAUAAUACAGGGACUCCGCAUGGAGAUAUUUGUUAAAGAUUUAUUGGUAGUAGAUGGGCAUGCGUUCCAUUAGCUUGUUGGUGAGGUAACUGCUCACCAAGGCAUCGAUGGAUAGGGGAACUGAGAGGUUUGUCCCCCACACUGGAACUGAGACACGGUCCAGACUCCUACGGGAGGCAGCAGUGAGGAAUAUUGGUCAAUGGAGGCAACUCUGAACCAGCCAAGUCGCGUGAAGGAUGACGGCCCUACGGGUUGUAAACUUCUUUUUUAAGGGAAUAAAGUGAGCCACGUGUGGCUUUUUGCAAGUACCUUACGAAUAAGGAUCGGCUAACUCCGUGCCAGCAGCCGCGGUAAUACGGGGGAUCCGAGCGUUAUCCGGAUUUAUUGUGUUUAAAGGGUGCGCAGGCGGAAUAUUAAGUCGGCGGUGAAAGUUUGCAGCUUAACUGAAAAAUUGCCGUUGAUACUGGUAUUCUUGAGUGUAUAUGAAGUAGGGCGGAAUUUGUAGUGUAGCGGUGAAAUGCAUAAAUAUUACAAAGAAACUCCAUUUGCAAAGGCACCUUACUAAAUUAACAACUGACGCUUAAGGCACGAAGGGGGGGGGAAACAAA
rnacentral:rRNA from 1 species